UGGCUCAGGACGAACGCUGGCGGCGCGCCUAACACAUGCAAGUCGAACGAGAGAUGAGGAGCUUGCUCUUCAAAUCGAGUGGCGAACGGGUGAGUAACGCGUGAGGAACCUGCCUCAAAGAGGGGGACAACAGUUGGAAACGACUGCUAAUACCGCAUAAGCCCACGGCUCGGCAUCGAGCAGAGGGAAAAGGAGCAAUCCGCUUUGAGAUGGCCUCGCGUCCGAUUAGCUAGUUGGUGAGGUAACGGCCCACCAAGGCGACGAUCGGUAGCCGGACUGAGAGGUUGAACGGCCACAUUGGGACUGAGACACGGCCCAGACUCCUACGGGAGGCAGCAGUGGGGAAUAUUGCACAAUGGGGGAAACCCUGAUGCAGCGACGCCGCGUGGAGGAAGAAGGUCUUCGGAUUGUAAACUCCUGUUGUUGAGGAAGAUAAUGACGGUACUCAACGAGGAAGUGACGGCUAACUACGUGCCAGCAGCCGCGGUAAAACGUAGGUCACAAGCGUUGUCCGGAAUUACUGGGUGUAAAGGGAGCGCAGGCGGGAGAACAAGUUGGACGUGAAAUCCAUGGGCUCAACCCAUGAACUGCUUUCAAAACUGUUUUUCUUGAGUAGUGCAGAGGUAGGCGGAAUUCCCGGUGUAGCGGUGGAAUGCGUAGAUAUCGGGAGGAACACCAGUGGCGAAGGCGGCCUACUGGGCACCAACUGACGCUGAGGCUCGAAAGUGUGGGUAGCAAACAGGAUUAGAUACCCUGGUAGUCCACACCGU
rnacentral:rRNA from 1 species